rnacentral:rRNA from 1 species
UUCCGUAGGUGAACCUGCGGAAGGAUCAUUACAUUCAGUAGCCCAGCUACUUGUUUACACCCUUGUUUUUUUGCGUACUUAUCGUUUCCUCGGCGGGCUUGCCUGCCGGUUGGACAACUUUAUAACCUUUUUAAAUCUUCAAUCAGCGUCUGAAUAAUAUACAAUAAUUACAACUUUCAACAACGGAUCUCUUGGUUCUGGCAUCGAUGAAGAACGCAGCGAAAUGCGAUAAGUAGUGUGAAUUGCAGAAUUCAGUGAAUCAUCGAAUCUUUGAACGCACAUUGCGCCCCUUGGUAUUCCAUGGGGCAUGCCUGUUCGAGCGUCAUUUGUACCUUCAAGCUUUGCUUGGUGUUGGGUGCUUGUCUUUUUGUUAAGACUCACCUCAAAGUCAUUGGCAGCCAGUGUUUUGGUAGUAAGCGCAGCACAUUUUGCGUCUUGGUCCCUCAACAGCAGCAUCCAUCAAGCCAUUUUCUCACUUUUGACCUCGGAUCAGGUAGGGAUACCCGCUGAAC